rnacentral:lncRNA from 1 species
CAAAACAUGAAUCUAGUGUCACGACCAUGAGCCUCUAAAUAUAGAGUUACCAUCCUAUACAAGUCUGUCUAGAAGUAGAAAUACAAAAUGUAAAGAUAGCGAUAGGGGGAGAAAUCUAAGGCUGCGAAUGCCGUCCAGCUACCUCGAUACUCCGGGAAGCUAACUCUGCUGAUCAACUGAAACUAAUCGGAAUGAGAAGAACCUGGAUCUGCACGCAAGGUGCAGGGAGUAAAGUGAGUACUCUGACCCAUAAGUAAUAAACAUAAAUAUAGUUCAAAAGUAAGAAAACAUAGAAAAUGCACAAAGUAAUCCAUAUCUAGCAGUUUGAAUCAAUAUUGGCGAAAACAGUAAACAACAUGUAAUACAAUUAAGGAAAUAAUACAUGAAAGAUGCAACACAUAUGACGGCACACUCUAGUACCCGCUGCGGCCUGCAACCCACUCCAUUUAUUUAUCAUCAGCAACGCUUACUAGGGGUGUGUACAGAUUGUGGAUGGGCUCCUACAGCCCAAGCGCAAUAUAAGCCAUCUCGUGGCAUCAAAUAGGCUCUCGGCAUCAAUAUCAAUAUAUCAUUGCUGCAGCGCACAGCCCAAUCCAUAUCAGAGGAAAAGCAUCCUCGCUAUCGGGUCCUCGACACAUAUCAAUCAAAUAAUGUAGGGAUCUCUUAUUUUCAUUUCAUUUAGUGUUCAAAAUAUAGUUCUUAUCAUCUUUUGAAACAGAUAAAAUCAUGGUUUAGAAUAUAAUGUAGGCAAAAAAGUGAGGAAAAUACAUAAGGAUCCCCUAAGGAUUCAACAGGUCGGUACAAGGCCCCAAACAUAGCAAUAAGCCCAAUUCUCAGUAAUAAAGUAUGCGUCUCAAUCGCCAAUACAGUAGAAAUAAAGCUUGAGAUGGACCAAGUCAUAAUCUCCAACAGUAAUUGACCCACAUUCAUCAUAGAAUACAUGCCACGCCUUAAUAUAGCGUUACGAUGUGAAAGUCCGGGUUUUCAAAACCUCAAAGCAGCAUUUACAUGUAUUACUCACCUCUAGCCGGUCAAAAAUUGGCUUGCAAUGCACUUUCCUCUUGAAUUGACCUUCUCGCUCAUCGUAUCUGGCCAAAACCACAAUAAAUACAUUACAAUAAGCUAAGGGAAUAUAACCCAAUCGAAAAGACUCGAGAAUAUCGAAAAUCACAAAAUUUGCAAAACCCGAGCCCAAGCCCACUUCUCGAAAGUAAGAAAUUUUUACACCAAAAUGUUCCUUAUCUUGCCACGAGUCUAUACAUAUCAAAUUCACAAGAAUCGGAGUCCAUUUGACUCAUCAAAUCCCUAGUUUAAACUUUAUUAAGCUUCAAGCCUCUAACCUCCAUUUUAACCUUUAAUUCAUUAGUUUUUAGUCUUAAUCAAUGAUUUUACACCAUAAUAACAUAUUCUAAGUCCAAGAAUCCAUACCUGAUGAAAGCCCUCGAAACCCUAUUCAAAAUAGCCCAUAACCCUCUUAGUCCGAGGUGGAAAUGUUGUGUUCUUUCAAAAAUCCGCGAAGGUCAAAUUAAAUGGUUCUGUCCUGACAUUUUGGCUUCUGCGGUCUAACUACCACACCUGCGACUACCGCUUUUGCGGUCUUCCUACCUCUCCUACGAUUCCCUAUUAAAAAUCUAAAACCGCUUAUGCGGCUAAAUGUCUGUUCUAGCGGAACUGCUUCAGCGGCCAGGUUUCCGCUUUUGUGGAACCUGCCCUGAGCACCACUUUCGCUUCUGCGCCCCCAUCGACCACUUCGGUGAGACUGCACUUGCGGUCCUAAAACCGCGAGUGCGAAAAUACCAGGUGCCAGAAAAGUUAAGUAAUCUCUCAAGUCCAUUCACCUCGUUAGCCAUCAGAAAACAGGCCCUUGGGAUCUCAACCAAAAAUAUAGAUGUGACCCAAUACCUUAUUCAAACUUGCUCGAAUCAUCAAAACACUACGGUUAGUACCCAAAAUCAUCAAAUUUCAUCAAAGCAAGGCCUAAGUUCAACCAAAAAUUCCGAAACUCACAUUCGAUGAAAAAUCCAACCUAAACACCCCCAAUUUAACUAAAAUUUUGCACACGCAUUCCAAAUCACCUAAUAAAGCUACUGCAACUAUCGGAAUCUCAUUCCGACCAUCGGAUCAAUAUCUCGUCUACCAACCGGAUUUCGCCAAAAUUCUAACUUCGCCAAAAUAUGCUAACUUCUACACCGAACCUCCAAAAUCACUUCCGAUUGCGCUCCAAGGCCUCAAAUCAUCCCCCGAAGCUAACCGAAUCAUCAGAAAUCACAUACGAGCCCUCUAACUCACAAGUCAACUUCCUGUUGACUUUUUCAAACUAACCUUUUUUUAAAGAGACUAUAUGUCACAUUUCCUAUCGAACUCAAUCCGAAUCAAUUCAAACUCAUCAAACACAUAUAAUGAAACAUGAAGAGGCAUAAAACGGGGAAAACAUGACAGAAAUACAUGAGACGACAGAUCCGGUCGUCACACAUUAUCUGGGUAUUGGAUUUUAUUUCCCAACCAACAAAUUAAAUAAUUGCACAUUUUAAGUUUGAGCAGUUAGUACUCAUAGCAUUUUUAUGAAGGAUUACACUUAAAAGAGAAAAGGAUAUUCCCUAUACAAACUACAAGUGGAAAUGCAUUCUAGUUGUGAACUAACACUUCCUAUGACAAAUACAAGAUUGGGAAAAUGGAUCCUACUAAUUUACACCUGUCUUUGCAGAAAAUAUGUAGCAAAGCUGUAAAUGCGUCUGAAAUUAGGGCGAGAUCUUUGAUUCUUUUCGAGGAAUUUGUUGGCUAUUGAUGCAAGUCUUUGAGCUUUUAAUAACUUAUCAGUCACUGAUUGAAGGUAGGACACUGACUUUUGGUGUGCAAUGUAUUUAGGAAAAAAUUGAACUAGCAUUGUGCCAAAGCACCGUGGAUGAGUCUGAAAUUUCGCCAAAUGAUGAUGUUGGUAAGGUGUUUGGAAAAGAGUACUAUGAAAGGGUAAGGUGCUUGGGAUUAGGAGUUGUUCCUGGUAGAGCGUUUAGACAAACAAAACCUCAUUAUAGUGAUUUGAAUGCUUCAAGUUAUAAUAAUGGUUCAUGUUCUUCCCAAUACCAAGAGAAAUAUACAAUCUAAUGUUGAAUGAUCACGUUCAAAGCCAAAAGAACUAUAGAGAAAUGAUGAAUAUUAACACUCAAAUGAUGAAUGCUUUUAAGGCGUAUAUGAUAAUGAAAGAAGAGAGGAUACCUAAAGAAUUUGCAGCAAUCUUUGUUUCUCAUCCUCAUUCAACGGUAAGUAAAGUUCAUAACUAUCUUAUUUUGAAAACUUUUGUGCUAUGUGAUGUUUGACUCUUUUUCUCACUUUCUUCACUCCGAUAUCUACACAUGCGUUCUCAUCAAAUGUGCAUUUUUUUUUAUCUUUCAUGUUGUUCUAAAAGGUAGUAUCCCAAGGCUUAAUGAGUAGCUUAUUAAAACUAGACGAUACUC